UCUUCGAUGGUCUAGUGGUCAUGAUUUCCGCUUGUCAAUUCACUUCGUGAAUAGCAAGCGCGGGAGACCGGGGUUCGAUUCCCCGUCGGAGAG